rnacentral:misc_RNA from 1 species
GAUGAAGAACGUAGCAAAAUGCGAUACUUGGUGUGAAUUGCAGAAUCCCGUGAACCAUCGAGUUUUUGAACGCAAGUUGCGCCCGAAGCCUUUUGGCCGAGGGCACGUCUGCCUGGGCGUCACGCAUCGCGUCGCCCCCCCACAAUUCUCCGUAAAGGGAACUUGUGUUUUGGGGGCGGAUAUUGGUCUCCCGUGCUCAUGGCGUGGUUGGCCGAAAUAGGAGUCCUUUCGAUGGACGCACGAACUAGUGGUGGUCGUAAAAACCCUCGUCUUUUGUUUCGUGCUGUUGCUCGCAAGGUAAACUCUUUAAAAACCCCAAUGUGUCGUCUAUUGACGACGCUUCGACCGCGACCCCAGGUCAGGCGGGACUACCCGCUGAGUUUAAGCAUAUCAAUAAGCGGAGGA